CAGGGCCCUCCUUCCCCUCCUCUCUCCCCUCCUCCCUCCCCUUCCUCCCCUCUCUUCUUCCCUGUGUGGAUGGCCGCGGCCAGAGUCGGAGCACCAGCAGCGCUGCCCAGAUAAUGCCCCUGACUCUUUGACCAGACCACAAGCCCGCCCUGAAGAUGUGUUCUACAAACCCAGGCGGCUGGGUCACCUUCGACGAUGACCCUGCUUUUCCGUCUUCUCAGAAGGCGAAGGAUUUCCCUCUGGAGACCCAAGGUGUUUGCAGACCAAAUGGACUGAAGCUGAACCUGCCGGGCCUCAGGGACCUUCCUAGUGCUUCCUCCUCCACCAGCAGCACCCCCCUAUCCUCUCCCAUGGUUGACUUUUACUUCAGCCCGGGACCUCCAAGCAAUUCUCCUCUUUCUACACCCACCAAAGACUUCCCGGGCUUCCCCGGCAUGCCUAAAGCAGGGUCUCAUGUGCUUUAUCCUAUUCCAGAAUGUUCUUCAAGCAGCCUCCCGACAACAGCAGCAGGAGCAGGUCCUCCGUUGUCACUCACCAAGCCAAGCAGCUUACCCCAUGCACAACUGCCCAGUGAGCACUCCUGCUCCCAGCUGCCUCCCAGAGCUGGUCUUGAAGAUGACAGCAGCCCUCAGCGGGCCCGCGGGGAGGCACUACAGUUUGAGUCUUUUCGAGAUGACUGUGCGUUUUCCAGCCCAUUUUGGAAAGAUGAAGGUAGCACUUCUCAGUUCCCCUUUGACUCCCUGGCAAGCAGAAAGCUGUUUUCCUCAAGAGACAAGGAAGUUCCCAUGGAUCAAAAAAGCCUUAACCAGUGCUCACUCAACUACAUCUGUGAGAAGCUAGAACACCUGCAGUCGGCCGAGACCCAGGGCCCUCUGGGAAAUGUGUCUAUGAGGAGUCUGAGUGCUGGAGACGUGGCUUCUUCUUUUGUGCCGCACACGCUCUUCCGGAGUCAGCCCAAAGCCGGAUGGUCCUUCAUGCUGAGGAUUCCUGAGAAGAAAAACAUGAUGUCUUCCAGGCAGUGGGGACCCAUUUUCCUAAAGGUUCUGCCAGGAGGGAUUCUGCAAAUGUACUAUGAGGAGGGGCUGGAAAAGCCGUUCAAAGAGUUCCAGCUUGAUCCACAUUGCAGACUUUCUGAACCCAAACUCGAGAACUUCAACAUGGCGGGAAAAAUCCACACCGUGAAGGUGGAACAUGUGUCUUAUUCAGAGAAAAGGAAAUACCAUUCCAAGACGGAGGUGGUUCACGAGCCUGAUGUAGAACAGAUGCUGAAGUUGGGGACCACGGAGCACAGGGAUUUCCUUGAGUUCCUGACUACUGUGGAGGAAGAGCUGAUAAAGCUGCCAGCUGUUGCGAAACCAAAGAAGAACUACGAGGAACAAGAAAUUUACCUGGAUAUUGUGGACAACUUUUGGGGUAGAGUAAGCAAGGAAGAUGGGAAACUGGCUGACAGGGCUGUAAUGACUCAGAUCUCCUGCCUCUGCUUUGUGAACGGGGCGGCAGAAUGCUUCUUAACCUUGAAUGACCUUGAACUCCAGAAACGAGAUGAAUGCUAUUUUGAGAAAGAACCAGAAAAAAGGGGGAUCGAGAUUCUUAACUACCAUUUCCAUGCAUGUGUGAAAGCUGAAGAAUUCAAACAGUCCAGAAUCAUUAAAUUUGUCCCUCUGGAUGCUUGCCGUUUUGAACUGAUGCGGUUUAAAACGUCGUAUGAAGGGGAUGAGCUUCCCUUUUCCGUGAAGUCCACAGUGGCUGUACAGGGGGCUUAUGUGGAACUUCAGGCCUUUGUCAACAUGACCCCGGGGCCUCAGAGGUCACCCCAUGCCAGUUCCUUGAGGUGUUGUGACAAUAUCAUGAUUCACUUUCCUGUCCCAGCCCAAUGGAUCAAGGCCCUCUGGACCAGGAACCUUCAGAGGCAGAAAUCCCUGAAAGCCAAAAUGAACCGUCGGGCAUGUCUGGGGAGUUUACAGGAACCUGAAUCUGAACCUGUCAUUCAGGUCACUGUGGGGUCAGCAAAAUAUGAGAGCGCCUACCGGGCUGUGGUGUGGAAGAUAGAUCGGCUUCCGGACAAAAACUCAAGUCCUGAUCAGCCCCAUUGUCUGUCAUACAAGCUAGAACUUGGAUCAGACCAGGAGAUUCCCUUGGAUUGGUAUCCAUUUGCUACUGUCCAGUUCUCAGUGCCUGAAGCCUCAGCCUCGAGGACAGAGGUGAGGUCUCUGGGAGUGGAGAGUGAUGUCCAGCCUCAGAAGCACACGUGUCUGCGGGCUUGCUACAACAUCCAGGUUGAAAUAGAAAAGAAGUGGAUCCAAAUAGACGGAGAAGACCCAGGUAAAGCCAGUGGCUGUGUGACUCAGUAAACGAUGAUGCCCCCAGCUCAGAUAUGCAACCCAGGCUGGGGCAGGAAGCUCUGCUACAACAUGGUCGGACUGAAUUCUAAGUAGCAUCCUGAUGCCACAGAUCCAGUGGAUUCUGGAGAAACGUACGCCCCAACGCAGGCUGUGUGAAUGUUACUCUUCUGAUAGAUUUUUGCUCUGGGAAUGUGUGCAGGAAUGUGUCCGUGGUCUGUGCCAGUUCCGUCUUCUUGAAAGUUGGUGGAGCUCUUUCUGAUGGGAAACCUGCUGGCCAGUUUGACUGGAGGGUAUUUGGGCUCUCUUCACCCAGUGACUUUGUUUUGUAAUCUGGGUUAAGUGAUUUCCCUGGCUUUUAGUGUAGUGAUUGAAUGAGAAUAGACCCCAUAGACUCAUUUAUUUGUUUAGCACCAGGAAGUGGAACUGUUUGGGAGGAUUAGAAGGAUUGGGAGGUGUGGCCUGAUUGGAGUAAGUGUGAUCUUGUUGGAGGAAGUGUUUCAUUGAGGGGCUGGGCUUUGAGGUUUCAAAAGCCAUGCUAGACCCAGUCUUUCUCUCUCUACCCGUGGAUCAGGAUGUAGCUCUUAGCUAGGGCUCUAGCAUCAUGAGCACCUUCAAGUUCCUACCAUGCUCCUGCCAAGAUGAUAAGGUACUCACCCUUUGAAAACAAGCAAGCUAAUAAGCAGCUCCCCCCAUGGCCUCUGCAUUAGCUCCUGUCUCCAGGUUCCUGCUCUGUGUGAGUUCCUGUCCUGACUUCCUUCAGUGAUGAACAGUGAUAGGGAAGUAUAAGCCAAACAAACCCUUUCCUCCCCACCUUGUUUUUGUCAUGGUGAUUCUUCACAGCAAUAGAAACCCUAGCUUGAACCAUUAGCAUGUGGAUCACCAAGGAAGGCAGCCAAAGGAGACAGAGCCCCAAUUAUGCAAUGUGCUGCAGAUGGGUGUGGAAGGCAGGGGUUGAAAUGGAGAUUUGGAUGUAUCUGUGAUUGUGAAUUAUCUAUGGUCCACUGGGGAGUCAUCUUUGGCUGUGUUUGUUACCUGUCUUUCCCUUGCUGUGGGGUCAUUUUCAAAAUGCCUUUGAAUUCUGAUUUGUGAUCCAAAGAAAUUAUUUCCAUUGAUAUACUUAUUUUGGAAUGAGUCCCUAAAAUACAGUGCUUUUUGGUCCGGGGAGAAUUCCUUUCAAAAUGAGAUCAGAAUCAUUGGACAUAAAUUAAAAUAUUUAUGUUCAUUAAAGGUGAACUUUAAAGUUCAUGAGUAUGGUUUUCUGAAAGUAGCAAUGCUAGGACUAUGUCUAGCCACAGUGUUUCCUGUAAUUAACGCAACCCUCUUGCUAGAAGGCUAAGCCUUGGCUUGAUUCUGUGUGCUGGUGCCAUUCAAAUUCUGUUUUAUUCAAACUCUGCUUCAUUAAGAGUGUUUUCUUGGGCUGGAAAGAUGGCCCAGUUGUUAAAGGCUAGGCUCACAACAAAAGCCAUGAGAGUGUUUUCUUUGGAAGAUGUGCAAAGUGAGAGGCACCAUGUAAUUCUAGCUGUACUACUACAAGGAGAUAGUUCAACUCUUCCCAGUCGGAGGAAUGGCUUGAUGGUCCCGUUGUCUAAUGAGAUGUCAAUGGCAUUAGUAGCUAGAACUCUGCCUGGAAUUUCCUUUAGUACUUACCAUGACAAGUUAGAAUCCUAAAAUUUAUGAAAUCGACUUUCUGAGGAUUUUUGUGUGUGUGUGUGUGUGUGUGUGUGUGUGUGUGUGUGUGUGUUUGUCUGAAAGAGUCCUCUAUGUCGUGUUAAUACAUGUUCAAUUCAUGUUGAGCCUUAUCUGAGACUGAAGACUUCCUUCCCCACUCACUGGGUUUGUUUUGCGUUGGAAAGUGACACAGCUGUUCUAAACCCCAUUUUUUGUUGGCCUACAGAAUUUAUUUUAUGCAUCUAUCUUGUGUUACAUUCAUUUCGUCUCUUCACACAGAUUACAGAAAGCAUCCAUGAUGGUUUGUACCUAUCAGAUUUCAUUGCUCUUACUUCACUGUGACGGCACAGAAAACAGAAGUCCAUGCCGAUGGGUUAUAUGGCUCUUCUUUAACUUUGUUUGAUAUGUAGAUUACAGUGUUGGUUUGAGGCUCAUUGGUGAUGUGUAGAACACGUAUGUAUACGAGCGCAUACUUUAUAAAAACCCCACUGUCUUUCCUUAUCUUCCGGAGUAGGCAUGCUUUCUCUUCAGUCUGCUUGAAACAAAUAUGCGAAGUGUUGCUGGGAAAUCCCAGGGAAGUUAGCUGGGUUAAUUACAUCUUUUUUCUCUGAGGUGUUUUAUGGCCUCCUGCCA